rnacentral:rRNA from 1 species
UGGGGAAUAUUGCACAAUGGGCGCAAGCCUGAUGCAGCCAUGCCGCGUGUGUGAAGAAGGCCUUCGGGUUGUAAAGCACUUUCAGCGAGGAGGAAGGUGGUGGACUUAAUACGUUCAUCAAUUGACGUUACUCGCAGAAGAAGCACCGGCUAACUCCGUGCCAGCAGCCGCGGUAAUACGGAGGGUGCAAGCGUUAAUCGGAAUUACUGGGCGUAAAGCGCACGCAGGCGGUUUGUUAAGUCAGAUGUGAAAUCCCCGGGCUCAACCUGGGAACUGCAUUUGAAACUGGCAAGCUAGAGUCUCGUAGAGGGGGGUAGAAUUCCAGGUGUAGCGGUGAAAUGCGUAGAGAUCUGGAGGAAUACCGGUGGCGAAGGCGGCCCCCCUGGACGAAGACUGACGCUCAGGUGCGAAAGCGUGGGGCAGCAAACAGGAUUAGAUACCCUGGUAGUCCAGCGCUGUAAACGAUGUCGAUUUGGAGGUUGUGCCCCUUCCCGAGGCGUGGCUUCCGGAGCUAACGCGUUAAAGUUCGACCGCCUGGGGGAGUACGGCCGCAAGGGUU